rnacentral:rRNA from 1 species
UACAGAGGUGGCAAGCGUUGUUCGGAUUUAUUGGGCGUAAAGGGUCUGUAGGCGGCCUGAUAAGUCGGAUGUGAAAUCCCACAGCUUAACUGUGGAACUGCAUUCGAAACUAUCAGGCUAGAGUGUGAGAGGGGUAAAGGGAAUUCCCGGUGUAAGGGUGAAAUCUGCAGAGAUCGGGAGGAACACCAGUCGCGAAGGCGCUUUACUGGCUCAUAACUGACGCUGAGGGACGAAAGCUAGGGGAG